UAUGGCUCAGGAUGAAGGCUAGCUACAGGCUUAACACAUGCAAGUCGAGGGGAAACGACAUCGAAAGCUUGCUUUUGAUGGGCGUCGACCGGCGCACGGGUGUGUAACGCGUAUCCAACCUGCCCCCACUUGGGGAUAACCUUGCGAAAGUAAGACUAAUACCCAAUGACGUCUCUAGAAGACAUCUGAAGGAGAUUAAAGAUUUAUCGGUGAUGGAUGGGGAUGCGUCUGAUUAGCUUGUUGGCGGGGUAACGGCCCACCAAGGCGACGAUCAGUAGGGGUUCUGAGAGGAAGGUCCCCCACAUUGGAACUGAGACACGGUCCAAACUCCUACGGGAGGCAGCAGUGAGGAAUAUUGGUCAAUGGGCGAGAGCCUGAACCAGCCAAGUAGCGUGCAGGAUGACGGCCCUAUGGGUUGUAAACUGCUUUUAUAAGGGAAUAAAGUGAGUCUCGUGAGACUUUUUGCAUGUACCUUAUGAAUAAGGACCGGCUAAUUCCGUGCCAGCAGCCGCGGUAAUACGGAAGGUCCGGGCGUUAUCCGGAUUUAUUGGGUUUAAAGGGAGCGUAGGCCGGAGAUUAAGCGUGUUGUGAAAUGUAGACGCUCAACGUCUGCACUGCAGCGCGAACUGGUUUCCUUGAGUACGCACAAAGUGGGCGGAAUUCGUGGUGUAGCGGUGAAAUGCUUAGAUAUCACGAAGAACUCCGAUUGCGAAGGCAGCUCACUGGAGCGCAACUGACGCUGAAGCUCGAAAGUGCGGGUAUCGAACAGGAUUAGAUACCCUGGUAGUCCGCACGGUAAACGAUGGAUGCCCGCUGUUGGUCUGAAUAGGUCAGCGGCCAAGCGAAAGCAUUAAGCAUCCCACCUGGGGAGUACGCCGGCAACGGUGCAACUCAAAUGAA
rnacentral:rRNA from 2 species